CAUGUAGAGAGAGAAGAAUAUAUGGGAGUUGACUUGAUGCAUUGCUGGAUAACCUGAAACAGCUGUUGAUGAAGGUGGAGGGAACAACGAGGGUGAAGAACCAAAUUGCAGACGACUGCAACCGCUAUCACCACACCACACAUCGUUUGAGUUGAGAGAUGGCUUAUGCUGCAGUCCUUUCUCUUAAGCAAAAGCUACACUCCCUCCUUAACCAAACUGAGCUUCCACUCCCGACAUCUACAUUAAACGGUGAAUUCAUUACAACGACCGCGGUGGCAGCAUGAGGUUGGAGGAGCUAAUCCGAGAUGAAGCACAUAACUUGAUGAUACUUUGGAAUUAAUUGAUCACCGAAAUCUCUUUCUUGAAAUAGAGGAGGUGGAAUCGUUUAUCACCACGCUGAAGAAGCUGGAAUUGGAAUAUGUUAAAGAAGUAGACAACACCUCUUCAUUGUCUACUGCUGCUGCUUCAACUACUGAUUUUAGCUCUAAGAUGGUUGGAUUGUGUGAUGAAUUUGCAAAGAUCAAAACAGAGGUGCUUUCCCGCAUGAGGCCGGAUGAUUUUGGCGUUUUCUCGCUUGUUGGGGCAGGCGGCGGGACAGGAAGGACGGUUGCUGACAGGAAUGUUUCCGAUGAUUUGUGUGCUGAGGCUUUUGAGUGCGGUGGGUGGGCGAGCGUUGGCCCGUAUAAUGGAAACAAGGACAUCCUCUUGAGCAUUGUUGCUCAAGUACAUCCUGAUGUAUACGAAUUACUUGUUGCAGAAGGCGAAGACGAGAUAGCAGAAUGUCUGCACACAUCCUUGAUGGGCCGUAGAUAUAUGAUUGUGCUUGAUGAUAUAUGCAGUGUGGAGGUUUGGGAGUGUUUAUUUAUGAAAUGGCCUCGUUGUUGCGUGUGGACUACUGUUGGAUAGUCAUUCGCACAUCAAUAUUGCUUGGCUCGAACCCUGAUGACUUUCCGCAACUUGAGGAAGCUGGAAUGAAGAUUGCUGAGAAUUGUCGAUGCCUUCGCCUCGUGCUUGCCAAGGUUGUACUGUUCUUACUGAAAGUUGAGAAGACGCCGCCCGGAGGUGUGGAAUAAGCUUGCUGCAGAUUCACAAAACUCCCUGUUCAUGGUUGAUGAUGAGUUAUUGGAGGUAUAAUCCUACUAUAAUUUGUUAUAUUACCUACAUGGAAACAUGUAUUCUUCUCGAUGUAUUCUUAUUUUUGCCAGAUUUCUAAAUUCAAAGAAGACUUAUGCAAUUUGGACGACGAACACUUCGUCCUUGGAUUGUUGCAAAUGACCACAUUACCGUUACUGACUCAAAAAUUGAAGUCUCAGAUGACUGAUUCCCAAAAUGGAAAUUAUGACGUUCUUCGGAAUGGCUGGUAUUGGCAAGACUCACCUCAUCAAAGAGUUAUUGAAGAGCAAUCUCCAUUGCAUCGCUUCGACCAUUGUGUGUGGAUUACUUUAGGCCCAAAAUAUCAGUCAGAAGAUAUAUUGGUCGAUAAUCUUGCAUAAAUAUAUCCCGAGUUUAGUAAAAUGGAUAUUAAAGCAGACGAGAAAUUAACUCAAGAUUUGUGCAGACGGUUAUCUCCUAAGCAAUGCCUCAUCGUUUUGGAAGAUGUAUGGUACAAAGAGCCCUGGCUUCUCUUUCUAAAGAUGUUUCAAUACAUAAAGGGUAGAACCUUGGUGACAACUAGGCUAGCAGAGGUGGCAGAACUUGGCAAGAUUCACAAAAUGCAGCAUGUUUCAACCUUUGUAUCGCUGAGGAGUCUCUAGAACCAGAUGCACCCCUGGAGAGAUGCGAGAUUUUGCCGCACAAUGUUUAUCAGAGCUUGUAGACAGAAGCCUUGUUAUGGCUUGUAAGGAGGGCUCUAAUUUCGGAUCAAGACUUUCCGCCUCCAUUCUGUGUUUUGGAAUCUAUGCUAUGCAACAGUGAAGCUGCGAAGAGCAAGGUGUUCCAUGCACUGCUGAUAUUGAUUCAGAUGGCAUGAAAAAUCCGCGCAGAUUGUGCAUUCGCAAUAGUAUGCUAUUGGGCUUAAGAGAAAUCCAAGACUCAAUUCAUGCCCUUUCAACUACUCGUUCUCUGUUAUGCGUUGGUCCACAACAUCAAUAGCAUGUUCCAAUAUGUUUAGCUACAAAGCUGCUAAGGGUACUCAACGCUCUUCCUAUCCGUUUGUAUGAGUUCCCAAUUGAAGCAACAGAUGUUUUAACUA